CAUUAGUAUCAGCACGAUGUUGUGGUUGUGUAGGAUUGGAAUAAGGUGGAAUUCCAGUGUUUCUUGGUCUUGGGCGCAAAAGUUCUUCCAAAGAGUCAGCGCUGCUAGAUCCCACCUCCUCCGCUAAUACUCUUUCUACAUUUAUCCCUUCAUUACGUGCUUCUUCAGCAACUCUGGGAGAUGGGUUGCCUUCAUCAUCAUCUAAAUGAAGAGGUAUAAUCCAUUGAUAAAGUUGGUUACCCUCUGUAUCAUCAUCUUCAGCAACAAUAUCAAACACAUAUAGUGGGUCACCACGGUCGACAUGAUCUAUUUCUGCUUCCUUAUCUCGAAUUUGAAGCUUCAUGUUGUAGUAGCAAUAAACUAAUUUUUCCAACUUACUAUGAGCCAACCUAUUUCUUUGCUUUGUGUGUAUGAGUGCAAAUGUGCUCCAAUUUCUUUC
rnacentral:lncRNA from 1 species